CCUACGGGUGGCAGCAGUGAGGAAUAUUGGUCAAUGGACGCAAGUCUGAACCAGCCAUGCCGCGUGCAGGAAGACGGCGCUAUGAGUUGUAAACUGCUUUUGUACGAGGGUAAACGCAGAUACGCGUACCUGUCUGAAAGUAUCUUACGAAUAAGGAUCGGCUAACUCCGUGCCAGCAGCCGCGGUAAUACGGAGGAUUCAAGCGUUAUCCGGAUUUAUUGGGUUUAACGGGUGCGUAGGCGGUCGGAUAAGUUAGAGGUGAAAUCCCGAGGCUCAACCUCGGAAUUGCCUCUGAUACUGGUCGGCGAGAGAGUAGUUGCGGUAGGCGGAAUGUAUGGUGUAGCGGUGAAAUGCUUAGAGAUCAUACAGAAUACCGAUUGCGAAGGCAGCUUACCAAGCUACUUCUGACGUUGAGGCACGAAAGCGUGGGGAGCAAACAGGAUUAGAUACCCUUGUAGUC
rnacentral:rRNA from 1 species